rnacentral:siRNA from 1 species
CAAGGGACUCGAUCUGCCACAU